UCCCUGGUGGCUUAGAUGGGAAAGAAUCUGCCUGCAGUGCAGGAGACCCCGGUUCAAUCCCUGGGUAGGGAA
rnacentral:tRNA from 1 species